UUAAAGAAAGCGUAAUAGCUCACUGGUCGAGUCGGCCUGCGCGGAAGAUGUAACGGGGCUAAACCAUGCACCGAAGCUGCGGCAGCGACACUGUGUGUUGUUGGGUAGGGGAGCGUUCUGUAAGCCUGUGAAGGUGUGUCGUGAGGCAUGCUGGAGGUAUCAGAAGUGCGAAUGCUGACAUAAGUAACGAUAAAGCGGGUGAAAAGCCCGCUCGCCGGAAGACCAAGGGUUCCUGUCCAACGUUAAUCGGGGCAGGGUGAGUCGACCCCUAAGGCGAGGCCGAAAGGCGUAGUCGAUGGGAAACGGGUUAAUAUUCCCGUACUUGGUGUUACUGCGAAGGGGGGACGGAGAAGGCUAUGUUGGCCGGGCGACGGUUGUCCCGGUUUAAGCGUGUAGGUGUGUGUUCCAGGUAAAUCCGGUUCACUUUAACACUGAGGCGUGACGACGAGGCACUACGGUGCUGAAGCAACAAAUGCCCUGCUUCCAGGAAAAGCCUCUAAGCAUCAGGUAACAUCAAAUCGUACCCCAAACCGACACAGGUGGUCAGGUAGAGAAUACCAAGGCGCUUGAGAGAACUCGGGUGAAGGAACUAGGCAAAAUGGUGCCGUAACUUCGGGAGAAGGCACGCUGACACGUAGGUGAAGUGAUUUACUCAUGGAGCUGAAGUCAGUCGAAGAUACCAGCUGGCUGCAACUGUUUAUUAAAAACACAGCACUGUGCAAACACGAAAGUGGACGUAUACGGUGUGACGCCUGCCCGGUGCCGGAAGGUUAAUUGAUGGGGUCAGCGCAAGCGAAGCUCCUGAUCGAAGCCCCGGUAAACGGCGGCCGUAACUAUAACGGUCCUAAGGUAGCGAAAUUCCUUGUCGGGUAAGUUCCGACCUGCACGAAUGGCGUAAUGAUGGCCAGGCUGUCUCCACCCGAGACUCAGUGAAAUUGAACUCGCUGUGAAGAUGCAGUGUACCCGCGGCAAGACGGAAAGACCCCGUGAACCUUUACUAUAGCUUGACACUGAACAUUGAGCCUUGAUGUGUAGGAUAGGUGGGAGGCUUUGAAGUGUGGACGCCAGUCUGCAUGGAGCCGACCUUGAAAUACCACCCUUUAAUGUUUGAUGUUCUAACGUGGACCCGUUACCCGGGUUGCGGACAGUGUCUGGUGGGUAGUUUGACUGGGGCGGUCUCCUCC
rnacentral:rRNA from 1 species